UUCUACUUGGUUUUUGUGCGAAAGAAAGAAAACAAAACAAUAUAUCUUUCUGUUGUAAUGGUGAUACUAUUGGCAGGUGAUUUUCGACAAAUAUUGCCAGUUGUUCCACGCUCAACGCCAGCUGAUAAACUAAAUGCAUGUUUGAAGUCGUCCAUUUUAUUGAAAUACAUUAAAACACUUAAAUUGAGUAUAAACAUGAGAGUCGAAUUGCAGGAAGACCAGUCUGGAGAAGUGUUUUCGAAACAACUGCUCGAUAUUGGUAAUGGUAAUAUUGCUGUUGAUACAUCAUCGGGGUAGAUGGUUUUCCCAAACAUAGCUCAAAAUUACGUAAAUAACGAUUGGUUAAGCGAACGUGUUAUAUUGGCCGCAAAAAAUGUUGAUUUGAACGAAAUGAAUUUUCAGAUUCAAGAGAAAAUAGCUGGCGAAUUGAAGAAUUAGAAAUCAUCAGAAAUUCUUGAACAAUGUCAAUGCAACAAUUUUAAAAGGGAAGUACAAAGGCGAAGAUGUUUGAAUCCCACGCAUCCCUAUGAUAUCGAACGACAUGCCAUUCAGCUUUAAGCGUUCACAGUUUCCAGUGCGGCUUCCGUUUGCAAUGUCAAUAAAUAAAUCGCAAGGGCAGUCGCUAAGUAUGAUACAAAUCUGGUUGGCGAUGAUACAUAUGAAAUACCCGGAACUUCUCUUACGGUUGGAUCUCUCGUUGAAGUAGCUGAUUCCGAACUAUCUGAUGAGCUAUAUGGUGUCAUUCGAUGGAUUGGAUUACCUUCCCAAUCAUCUAAUAACUUACUGAUAGGAAUUGAACUUGAAGAUGACGUAGUAAAUUUGAAACAUCUUUCAACCUUCAAUUGAAGCUAUAAUGGGAUUCGGUAAAUUAAUAAUUAAUUUGUGAAACAUGUAGUACCAAAUUUAAUUAGACCGUGAAAAAUAAAUUGUUUAACUUUUUACUUAACUCUAA